UGCGUAGGUGGUGAGGUAAGUCGGAUGUGAAAUCUCGGAGCUCAACUCCGAAACGGCAUUGGAAACUACCUUGCUCGAGGGUUGGAGGGGGGACUGGAAUGCUUGGUGUAGCAGUGAAAUGCGUAGAUAUCAAGCGGAACACCAGUGGCGAAGGCGAGUCCCUGGACAACUCCUGACACUGAGGCACGAAAGCUAGGGGAGCAAACA
rnacentral:rRNA from 1 species